rnacentral:rRNA from 1 species
GAAGGGUGCAAGCGUUACUCGGAAUUACUGGGCGUAAAGCGUGCGUAGGUGGUUCGUUAAGUCUGUCGUGAAAGCCCCGGGCUCAACCUGGGAAUGGCGAUGGAUACUGGCGGGCUAGAGUGCGGUAGAGGGUGGUGGAAUUCCCGGUGUAGCAGUGAAAUGCGUAGAGAUCGGGAGGAACAUCAGUUGCGAAGGCGGCCACCUGGACCAGCACUGACACUGAGGCACGAAAGCGUGGGGAGCAAACAGGAUUAGAUACCCUGGUAGUCCACGCCCUAAACGAUGCGGACUGGACGUUGGGAGCAACUAGGCUCUCAGUGUCGAAGCUAACGCGUUAAGUCCGCCGCCUGGGGAGUACGGUCGCAAGACUG